CUGGCGAGACGGAGGGCGAGGGAGGUCUCCAGAAAUCCUCGAACUCGGACACCCUGUCACAGACGCUGCCCUCGCAGCUGGGCGCUGACUCGGAGGUGCCAUCGGCAGCCUCGGUCAGGAAGGACCUCGGCAUGGUGGGGUGCUGCCACGGCCGGCGCGGCCGCGCUCCCUCUCCAAGCGCCGGGCACGGCGGCGGCUGCGAGCGUCACCCCCGAGUCUCCCGCGGGGCGGCGGCGGAGAGGCGACCUGCGGGGAGGCGCCGAGCCCGCCGGUGAGGGCCGGGGGCGCCGGCCGGGAGGGGCCGCUCGCCGGGGGCGGCGCGCCAGGUGGCGGCGUGCAGGUGGCUCAGGCCACCGCCCCCGGCCCCGCUCGCCUCGCCCCCCCCUUCCCAGAGCGCAGCUACUGAGCCUCCCGCCGGCCCCGGCCAGCGCUGUCGUCCCCCCCCCCCCGGUGCCGCCCCGGCCACGCUCGACGGCCGCUGCCGGAUUGCGGGGAACAGGCAACAGCAGCGACCGGGCACCGUCCGUCGGACGAGGGGGGCUGAGCGAGCUGCGGAGGCGGGGGCGGGAGGGGAGGGGACCGGUCAUGUGCAGCCCCGUCCCUCCGGGGCAGCGUGGCCGCGCUCGGCGGGGUGGGCGCACCGCGCCUCCAUGUUUGCGUCCGCGCCGGCAGCCGCCGCAAAAGCGGCGCCAGCAAAAGGCACCCCCGAAGCGGCUUAUCAGUGCCCGCCACCCAGAGCGGGCCGGAGGGCGCAGGGCUGCUGCCGGGACGGGUGGGAGAGUCGUUACAAACCCGGCAGCCUAACCCGACGCCUGAGAGGCUGUUGCUGUCGGAGGGACUGAUUCACCCCUCCAGCGCGAACAACGAUAACGCGAAAACGAACAAAACGGAAUCUGCUGCGGUCCGCAGCUGCAAGGUGCCGCGGCGCCAACAGCUGCGGGCACCGAAAGCCGGGGCGGGGAGAGAAACGAGGUGGGAAACCUUCAGGGGGCCCUGGGGGACAGGGACCGGGCUAACCAGAGCUGCCCCCCGCCUGCUCCUUGAGGAAGGCGGGAGAAGUUCACUGGGACCCGUCUAGCACCGGCCCGCCCCUGCGGUUACGCUGCACACUUUGCAGAAAGCGAGCUUAAGCUGCGUUUGGUUCUUUUGGGGGACUUCGGGAGGUUGCUGAUGCUUUUCUUUCUUUCUUCCCCUUCCACCCGCACACACCCCCCCGUCAGUGGCCUCAGGUUUGCGGACGGGAGAAGGAGGGCUCGCUGAAGUGACAUCAAAGUGUCAUUCUGGACUCAGGCGUUUCAUUUCUCUCGGGGUUCUGCUCUAGAAAUUACACGCAUCUAUCUGAACUAUUCUUGGAUCCCCUUCAACUUCCGCAACGAGAACAAGUCACAGAUUCAAAACACAGAUUGACUCAAGGCGGGCAGCGGCUGAGGGCAGGGGACGGAGGAGCCGGCGCCCGCCCUGCGCCCGGCCCGGCAGCGGGGGGACGCACCUCCGCCGCCAUCCAGCCCUGCGGGCCGGUACAAUCGGGGCUAAGGCAGGGCCCUGGGCGUCGGAGACCUCCCCUAGACUAGAAAUAACUUGUUGUGGAAAACUUUUGGGAUAAAUACGCCCAACGGCGCUGAAAAUACCUUAAGACCCAAGCCUAGAGGUUUGCUCAUUUCCCUUCGGAUUUAGGUAAUGGUUAAAUAUGGAAAGGGUAGGCGAGAUCCCCCACCGCCACCCCUCCCCGGCGCACGGUGGGUACUGUAGCUUAAGGGCGAUUCAAACACGAAGGCGAAACAGGAGCGGAGCCAGGCGAGAGGGGAGCGAUUGCCUCCUCCGCCUGCGUGCCGGUGCUCGGGCCGCUGGCUCGGGAAGGGUCCGUGGGGCAGGCACCGGCGGCGGGCACGGUGGCGGGGGUCCACGGCAGGCAGCGCCUCACACCGCCCGCGCCUGCGGAGACCCCCGAAGAAAAAAAGGCUCGCCUUGCUUUACACAGACACCCCGACCCCAAAACACAGUUUUCUGGGUCUAGCUUCGGAUUCCCAGGAUGCAGCCAGGAAAUCCGACACAGUUCUUCCGUGUCUUUCUGAGGUGAUUGUGGGCUUCGCUCUCAGACAUCUCGGGCCAUCAGCAACGUCGUUUCGGUGACUAUAGGGCCGCCCGAAGUACGGCUCCGCAGUGGGCGAAUCGAGGUUUAACACCAUCUCCCGUUCAGAAAUGACCGAGACUGAAGUCGGACAAGGCAGGAGCAAACUUCAGCCUCUCUCACGCCCGGGGAGCAUGCUGGCUUUGCCAACAGGUGCUUUUCUUCACCACUACCCCACCCCCGAAGUAUUCACAGAAAAAUUAGUCACUGUGUGCCUGUGAGCCCGUGUGGAACGUAGGAUUAACCUGACUUCCCAAAAUCUAACUAAGCAAACAAACACCACCACGAGAAAAACCGUCCAACCUUUUGCGUGAUGCUUUAGUAGUGACACAAAAGGAAGCUGAAGAACACGACUGACACAUCGACCUUAACACCUUCAUUACUGCCGGAAAGUUCCUGGUGCUGGGCACAGCAGUUUUACUUACGGCAUCCGUGUACCGCGGUCUCCUUGCUGCGCCUUUGGUUGAUUACUCUGAAAAUCAUUCGCUCCGUCAGCUUCAAAAAUAAAUGCUGGAAUCAGUAGAAAUAACCAGAUUGGAACAACUCGGUGUAAUUUCGUGUAUGCGUCUUCGUUGACUCACUGUUUAUGACUUUUUGCAAAACAGCCUUUCUCGUUUGCCUCUGAAAUGGGAUGAGAAACUAAUAGCCUUUCGAUUACCUUGCCAAACAGCGCUUUGACUGUAAUGAAAGCAGCAGAAAACAUGACUGUAAAUCACUAUUAGCUCUCGUAAGCCAUCCUGACCCGGUUGUAAUAAAAUACAUAUCCAUC